rnacentral:rRNA from 1 species
GUGUCAGCCGCCGCGGUAAGACGAACCGUGCAAACGUUGUUCGGAAUCACUGGGCAUAAAGGGCGCGUAGGCGGUCGGUCAAGUCUGGGGUGAAAUCUUUCGGCUCAACCGGAAACGUGCCUCGGAUACUGACUGGCUGGAGGGAGGUAGGGGUCGACGGAACUUCCGGUGGAGCGGUGAAAUGCGUAGAUAUCGGAAGGAACACCGGUGGCGAAAGCGGUCGACUGGACCUUUUCUGACGCUGAGGCGCGAAAGCCAGGGGAGCAAACGGGAUUAGAUACCCCGGUAGUCCUGGCCCUAAACGAUGGGUACUAGGUAGAAGACUGGACAUGGGUUUUCUGCCGAAGCUAAUGUGUUAAGUACCCCGCCUGGGGAGUAUGGUCGCAAGGCUGAA